ACUUUAUUGGUAUGGAUGUGACUCUGGUAUGGCUUAGGGUUGGGUAUCGUUUGAAUUUGAACGAUUCCGAUUCCAAUUCCGAUUUCUUAUUUCGAUUCCGGUUCCUCACGAUUCUCGAUUCCGAUUUUUUUAAGAGGCAGGGUCAAAAAAAGUUUAGGAUAUUUUAAAUGAGCUAGCUAACCAACGGUCUUUCUCAUGGUAUC